AGUGAGUGGCGAACUGGUGAGUAACACGUGGGAAACCUGCCCAGAAGCGGGGGAUAACACCUGGAAACAGAUGCUAAUACCGCAUAACAACUUGGACCGCAUGGUCCGAGCUUGAAAGAUGGCUUCGGCUAUCACUUUUGGAUGGUCCCGCGGCGUAUUAGCUAGAUGGUGGGGUAACGGCUCACCAUGGCAAUGAUACGUAGCCGACCUGAGAGGGUAAUCGGCCACAUUGGGACUGAGACACGGCCCAAACUCCUACGGGAGGCAGCAGUAGGGAAUCUUCCACAAUGGACGAAAGUCUGAUGGAGCAACGCCGCGUGAGUGAAGAAGGGUUUCGGCUCGUAAAACUCUGUUGUUAAAGAAGAACAUAUCUGAGAGUAACUGUUCAGGUAUUGACGGUAUUUAACCAGAAAGCCACGGCUAACUACGUGCCAGCAGCCGCGGUAAUACGUAGGUGGCAAGCGUUGUCCGGAUUUAUUGGGCGUAAAGCGAGCGCAGGCGGUUUUUUAAGUCUGAUGUGAAAGCCUUCGGCUCAACCGAAGAAGUGCAUCGGAAACUGGGAAACUUGAGUGCAGAAGAGGACAGUGG
rnacentral:rRNA from 2 species